rnacentral:misc_RNA from 1 species
GAUAAAUGUCAACACUAACAAUGGCACUGAACCGCAAAACCAAACGUUUAAGUACAGUUUUUUGGAGAAAAGGAAAAGUUCUUCACUUACAUCAAUGCUUAGCAUUUGUAUAGAAGAAUUUCUUCCGCAUAAAUAUGACAACUAUGCUGAUGAAAAUAGAAGGGCACAUACAUCGUAUAGAAAAUACAAUGCUAACAUUCCAGCUUAUUUAAUUAAUCGACCACCACCUCUUGUAAAACAUUGUAUGAGAAUGAUCGAUAUAUGUCAAAGUGUAGGGUUAGUUGGAAUUAGUUCUGUAACAGCAGGAUUGUAUAAUGUCGCUUCGUUUCAAUCUAAUAACCGAGACAUUUACCAAUGUUAUUUUGGUGAUGCUGAACAACUACCAUAUUGCUCUUGUCCAGCUUGGUUUGAAAGUGCAUAUCCAUUGUCCAGCUUGGUUUGAAAUUGCAUAUUUUUUUGCAAUUUUUAUCAAAGAAAAUCUCUCUUGGUCGUCUUUUGGUUCCUCUUAUCGAAAUUCCCCAUAUUUUAUUCUUGAUCCAUUGUUGGAUGAAUAUCAUUCUUCAACUUUGGCUCCUUGUCUAGAUUUAUUGUAUUCCAACAAUAAUUUGUUGGAAAAUAAUCAUGUUAACAGUGCUAAAUCGUUUUGUGUUGGAUCUUCACAGAAUGAGUAUGAUCAGACAAAAGCUAUGAGUUUAGUGGAUAAUACAAAUAGUCUUGGUUACAAUAACCUAAAUAGUCAAGCUCUGUCUAUUCAGCACACACCUGCAGCGUGUCGUGAACUCUUGAAUGAAAUAAUAAAAAUGACUCAUUUAGGCAGUUCUCAAACAGCAACAAAUAAUUUGUUCGAAGGCCUUUGUAAACUUAAAAAUAGUUUUGAGGAAACUUUAUUGAGAGAAAAAGGUAUUCUUCUGCGUCAAGAAUGUAAACCAGAUAUUUGGAGCAAGCCUCUUAUAAAUUCACCAAAACUUUGUCAGCUUCCAGUUCGACGCAAAAGAAAAAUGGCAAAACGAGUUGGUAUUAAAUAUGACAUAGCUAAAAAAGCUUCAAACAUAAAUUUGGUAGUAAAAGUAAAAGAUGAAGUUUCUUUUUCUGAGGUUGUUACAAACCACGUGAUUGAUGAAAGUUGCGAAAUGUUUUCAGUGCCCAAUUCAACAAUCGAAUGUGAAAAAGAAAAAUCAGGUGAUUGCCAAAAUCUUUUUGAAUCUACUGAAGUUAGUGAUGAUGUCCAAUUGCAAAGCGCUGUUCAAUGUAUUCAGUUUCUGAAGUCCUCUUUAAUUAGAAAUUCAGAACAAAAUGAUAUUGCAAAUGGACAAAUGCUUGAUGACAAUCUCAUUCAUUUGUGUCAACAAAUGAUGUCAGUUGGAUUAAAAAUUAAUGAAGGUCUACAGGAUCCAAUUAAAGGAAAAGUAUUAUCUUUUAAUGUCCAUUCAAGUACUCCAUUCGUCCAAGUCCUUCAUGAUGGCAAUCUCCAUUGGGUUUGUGUAAGCACGUAUGGUUGUGCUCCUGGAGAAAUAUUUCUUUUUGAUAGUCUCUUUAAUGGCAAAAUAAGCUUUGACACAAAACAACAAAUAUGCUCCAUUUUACAUUGCGAACAAAAAUAUCUUGUUAUAAAAGUGUUGCCUAUUCAACAGCAAACUAAUUCUGUCGAUUGUGGACUGUAUGCUAUUGCUUGGGCUCGACAGAUCCUCGAAACAAAGGGAAUGCCAUCAACUGCCCUAAUGUUUGACCAAAAUCAAAUGCGAAGUCAUCUAUUAAAUUGUAUGCUCAACAACCGCUUGGAUGUUUUCCCAAGUACUGUCAAACUUGCGUUUAAAAAAUGCUCAGCAAAGACCUUUCGUGUUCGGUUGCAUUGCUCGUGUCGCAUGCUUUGGAACCAUAAAGAUGAAGAAAUCUUCAACAGGCAAAUGGCUCAAUGCUACACUUGUGCAAAAUGGUUUCACCGUGAAUGUGAAAGAAUUCCACAGAGUGCUUAUGAAAUAGAAGAAGAACUUUGGAAUUGUCAGAAAUGCAACAGUAAACUAGGUUUUUAAGGCUUAGUAAAUAUAAAAAGAUAGCUUCAGGUAUUAUAUUUUUUUAAAUAUAUUCAUCAAGUAUUUUAAAGGACUUGUGUGCAGACAAAAUUGUUACUGGUAAAAUUUUGAUUUUCUAUAAAUAUAUAUCCAUAACCUUAUUAAAUAAAGAACAAAUUUAAUGAAUGUUAUCUUUUUAUUUGCAUAUAUCAUCUCAGAUUCGAAAUUCAAAAACAAAUUAUGUAAUAAAUAUUACUUAAUAACGACUUUAUUUUAUAGUGCUUAUGCCUUGUUAUUAAUUGGUAUAGGUGUUUAUACCUUUCUGAUGAUAGUACAUAUGUUUGUUAAUUGGCAUUUUAUUAUAUAACUAUUUGUGACACUGGUAUAAACUGCCCCAUUUGUUUGGUUUGUGUCAUAGUGUUGUAAAAAUUGUGUUGACAUAAACAGCUUAUACUGUGGUGAUACUUGGCAUCUUAAAAACUAUAUAUAUAGCCUUUGUGUAGUAUGAGCCUUAAGGGUUAUAUAAUUCAAAUGUAUAUUUAAUGCUGACGCUUAAUAUUUCAUGAAUAUAUGUAUGUAAACAUUUUAAUUCGUCUUCGUAACACAUGCAUUAGAUAUAUAUAGGUAUAAAGUAUACCUAAAAAUAUAGCGAUCAUAUGCUCUCAAUAUUAAAAUUUAAUGUGUGAACCAUUUAAAUUGCUUCAAAGUAAAUGGUCUUGAUAUUACAUAGCAUUUUGCUAAGUAAUCGUUGUUAAUUUUUUUUUAGGGAGGUGAGCAGUGCAUGGCUACUUUCACGUUAGUGUUCACUGUUAAAAACGGUAUCAAUAGCCGAAUUUCAAAACAUGAAAUUUACCUUUUAAAUCACGAACUAAAUGCCAAGACGAGUCAAUAAAUAAACUUGGCUUGGCUCCUCGGUCCUGUAGAUGGCAGCUGUUAUAACUGAUUUUGGAAAGUGCCUUCAACGUUAAUUGUUUUAAAAGAAAAACGUGUUUUAUAUAUGUUUUUAUUUUAUAAUAUUUUUGUUACAUAUUUAACUAUAUGUAAAUAACUAUAUGUAAAUAA